GCCCUGCAGCCUAGCCAGGCCGAGCUGCGUGCCCUGGCGCGCACCCCUCCCACUCGUGCUUAACCCAGCCAGGUCCCCCUGCCCGGCUCCAGCAGGCUCCCUCACCUCGUCCCUGCCACCUUCUUCGUUCCUCCUCCCUUUCCUCCUCCCCCACUGCCCCGCCCCCAGCUCGGCUCGCUCGGACUAGCAGAGGCCGCCUGCAGACGGGCCAGGCCGGGUCCACUUGGGGACGCACAGCCCGUGUCUCUUCUCCGCCUCAAGGAGACAGGCCGGCCUAGAUGACUGACCGCUGGACUCCAGUGUCCAGUCCUGAGUCGCGGGGAAACGGGGAGGAAGCAGGAUGGUGGCACCCACGCACGGCCUGGGUCCUCCUGGGGCGGUGUGCUGGGCUCCCACUCCCACCUUCCUCGACCUGCUCUGCCUCGGGGCCGGAGGCUCCCCGCGCCCUCGCACCUGGUCGCCUGCCCCUUGCACCCCGCUUGGCCGAGCAUGGACCCGGAUCGGGGCGCCUUGGUUGGGAACUGCCAGGAGGGCCCUGAGGACACCUGGGAGAUGACUGUCACCUGAGAAACCUCCUUUGGCAGACGGGGAAGCCUCUCUGCCACCUCGGGAAGAGAGAGGAGAGGGCGGCCGGCUGGUGGCACUGGCACAGUGCUCACCACAGGUAGCUCGCUCAGGUGAGAGGGAACCAGUUGCUAAGUGCAGCGUUGUGCUCAACGACUCCUUGGCCCCAGGCUUGUUGCUCCUGGUAAGUGCCCCCAGGCCCAGUAGCCUAUCCAUCCCAGAUCCCAGGCACACCACACCCCGCCUCCACCGUGUGCCCUGCCCUGCCUGUCAUCUCAGUGCAGCCCCUGCCCAGGACCACCACACCCUUGCACACAAGCACGCCACUUCCCACACACUCGGGGGCACUUCGGGGACCAAGCAGGGGCAUUUCAGGUGCGACCCCAUGUGGGAAAUCCUAAUUCAGUUCAGGGCAGAUAUUUUAAAUCGAUUAUUAUAGAGUUGAAAGCAAGAGAGGUGGAGAGAGAAAGAGAAAAAGAGAUACCUCGGUAGCCUCCUGGGGCGAGCCACUGUCAAUGUCUAUAACGCUUUUGGUUUUCCUGGGAGGAACUCCUCCAGAAAGACGCAUCGAGGAGAUGCCCACAUGUUUGGGUGACAAACACAAACAGCGACGGAUCAGAUUGCAGCCCUUUAGGCUCCACUUCCCAUCAGAUUAGUUUAAGUGAGAAAAAAAAAAGGGAAGGGGGUCUAAUUUUUCUCACCCGGGGAAGACAGGCCUGGAGUAUUUCCAUUUCUAAAGACCCUUCCUGCUGUGGGGUCAUUAGCAUUUGGGGCUUUUCUCCCCCCUCCUCCUCCUCCCGCCUGACCUCUGGCAGGGGCGGAAGAGAAAACACGGAGUUAUUACAGAAACAUCCCCAGUUCAGAGCAGGACCGUAUGCUCCAGAUACAGUCGAUUCUGACACCAAUUAAAUGUGUAACCAGACAAGUGCACUGGGAGGCUGUCCGUCCUCCAGGACGGCCGGCCCUUCCCCUCUCCUGAGCCCAGCGCCGCCCGCGAGUUUGAAGACGGCCUCUUCCCUUCCUGUGUGUACACCUUCCCCCCAGCAAUUAUACUCCUCCACUAAAAUCUAAAUUUUCCAUACUGCUGCUGCCUGGUGCUAAUAAAAACCGUCUACCUUGCACUAUUACACAGUCGAGUCCCACUACAUGCCGUUUUUAUUGGUAGUGACUGUAGCAAAUUAAAAUGCCUACGCAGAGACAUUAAAACUUGCGCUUUUCAUUGUUAUUGGAAUAUAUAAACUCGGCUUUGCUGUAAAGCUCCCUGAUUUUUUUUAAAAAAAAUCACUUUUCGUUUUCUUAGGUUAAAGUUGACUUGGUCUUCCUAAAAAAAAAAAAAAAAAUCAGGAAAAACACCCCAGCAAGUGUGAAGGCUCAGCGUGGUGUUCCUUGCCAGGCUGCCUGAAGGGUGGCCCCGGUGAGCUUGGAGCCCACUGGAUGCGGGUCCACGGGGAGCGGGUGGAGGCGUCCCCGGCCCCUAGGCGGCUCCCCCGGGGAGCAGAGGCCUGGCUGUUUCGCUCAAGGGCAGAAGGGUGCUCUGGCACAUGGAGUCGCCUGGCUGUGGUCGGGCACUUUGCUGCUGCUGCUGCUGCUUUUCGGUUGUCAUCUGAGCUGGGAUAACAGCGCAGGCAAGCAGGGGACCAGGAGCUGCUGCCAAAGCACAGCCACUUGGUGCCAUUGCCCAGGCAGUGUGUGGCUUCAGGCUGACAGUGGAUCCUCCCUCCGUUCCCCAGGGGUGUGUGUGUGUGAGAGGGGGGGGGAGAGUUAACGUCGUCAUAUUUUUGUUUCUUGUGCUUACAGCGGCCUAAGCAUUUAGAACCAGUGGGUGUGGACGCACCUCUCAGAGAACCGGGUUCUCCUGCGAGGCCAAGCGCAGAGAAGGGCCAGGGACGCAGGCUGGGGUUCCAGGGUCGUCCGAGGAUCACGGCCGGCCGGGGAGCGCGUGUUCUCUUAACCAGCUCUUCCUCACCCGGCUGUCCUGUCUUUAGCUCCAGAUUACUGCCGGGUGUCGUCACUGCAACCUUGUCCCUCCCGGUUUCCUUAGUGGCAACAAAAUUCGCCAUCCUCUGACAGAUGCCCCGCCUCCAACGAGCUUCCCUGAAGUUUCUCUCUGGCGCGGGGUCCGGGAAACCCUAAUUUCUCCCUUUCUCAGCAGCUCGUUGCCUCCCGAGGUUCUUCUUCCCCUUUCCCUGCCUUCCCGUGUCCUUCGCCCCCGGGCUCUUUUCCUCCUCUGCGCGCCAUCCCCACCCCCGCUCCGCGACAAGCACCCCCCCACCCCGCCUUCCCGCACAGGUGUGGGUGCAGCCCCGGCCUGGGGUGCCCCCGCUGUGCUGGGCAGCUCGGGGCUGCAACGCUGGGCUUGGUGCAACCUGCCCGCGCCCCCCCACCCCCCCUAAGUCCCAGGCCAAGGCUCCCGCCAGGAAGGAGCAUGCGGGGAGGGGGAUAGGAACACGCGGGGGAGCCCAGGAAUGCCGGAGAGGGAGGGAAGGGGACAGUCCUGGGGAAUGGACCUGCCUCAGUGCCUUUAAGGGCUCCAGUUCAAGGAGACUCGCUUCAGGAUCAGCGACCUGACCACCGGAGUUCUUCACCGGGCGACAGUUUGGAGAGGAAGUGCUUGACUCUCGCCAGCCGUGUCGCCUUCGCACACGCGCCCUAGCGGGCCCGCAUCCCGCACUGAGACACGCGCGCACACGCGCUCCCCGGACAGCCGCUCGUCUCAGAAGCUGU